AUCAGAUGAUGAUGGCGGAGAGAAGAGUUGUGCAGGGCAGGCAAGAAGUGCAUGGUGUUUAUUCAGUAUUUUAGUUUUAAAUGGGCUAAUUGUAUUUCGAGUGAGAACCAUAUGCAUUAUAAAGUAGUGUUAUCUAGCAGUACAGCCUUUGUAUGGUUGGCGUCAACGUGGACAUUUGCUUCACCUGUUAGCUAGCUUGGUGAAAAAGUUCAGUUCGACUGCCUGUUUCAUGUGAACGGAGGUCGCGAGCAGCCGAAACGCCCUGAUCGACCUGCCACCUGGCAAACGAACAGUGUUGAUGAACUGGGUCAUCAGUCCCUGUCGAGGAAAUGGAUUCUGGUGUGAGUGUGUGUGGCUGUGGGAGGCAAGACAACAGGAAGACUGUUUCCUGCAUUCGGUCAAAUCCAGACUGGGCUGUAAACUGGAAGCAGGCUGGUGGCAUAGGUAAGCACAGUAACUGUACGUACACACCGUCGCCGAUUUGAGCUGCUCUGGCCGCCCUGUCGAGGACUCUUGUCAAAUGGUAUGGGGAAGCUUUUGAUGCUUUGGCCACUCUGACGUGGCAGCAUUCUACGUUGUUUGUCGUUUGCCGCUGAACCGUGUCAUAGCUCAUUAGCAUAAGGUAAACCAACUUUCUGCUUGACGCUCAAGACGCGACGCCGACGGAUUUGCCGCUUCUUGCAGCUGAGAGAAGCCGGCUUCCAUUGAAAAUGAAUGACUUCCUGUAUCUUUUGCAGCUCAAGUCGGCGGCGACGGUGGAUGGAAAGGUCGAUGGAAAAACAGACAGGUGUCUCUGAUUGCCAGCGAAUGUUGCCCAGUAAGGUGUUUGUCCUGCGUUCACAUAUGCCAACAGACAAUGCGGUAUCUAGCUUUCUAAUAUCUAUGGCGCAGCAGGUCAUGUGUCAGUUUAGUGUGUGACGCUGGAAGUAGAUAACCUGGAAAUCCAGAGUUCUCGCAAGAGCACAAUGGAAUUGUCUGCGAGACACUCUGGCAAUGAUGCACGUUACUUUUACCCCUUGCAUCCUGUGGAACCAAUCAAAUCGGUGUAUCUGAUAUAGGCGGGCCAGAGGCAAGCUAAACUGAUGACUACUGAUGAGGUCAGUAAACAUUGAUCGUAGUGUUAUCCAAUUGCGUCGAAGUCCAGAAUCAUUCAGAGUGAACAUUGUAUAAGUAUAAAUAAGUAUAUAUACUGAUCCCGUGAGGGAAAUUUGGUCUCUGCAUUUAUCCCAAUCCGUGAAUUAGUAAAACACACUCAGCACACAGUGAA